rnacentral:lncRNA from 1 species
AUAAGAUUUUGAAAAAAUUUUGAUAGAGUUUUGUCUUAUAAUUGGAUGAAACUCCCGGUUAGCAAAUUUUCAACAACUUCAGAAGCAUAAUAAUAUUUCCAUCAAGUCCAAGCAAUUCAAACAUUUCCAACAACAAACAUCUACAUUAAAAAAUAUUUUAGCCAAUUUUGUAAUUUUAGAUAAGAUUUUGAAAAAAUUUUGAUAGAGUUUUGUCUUAUAAUUGGAUGAAACUCCCAGUUAGCAAAUUUUCAACAACUUCAGAAGCAUAAUAAUAUUUCCAUCAAGUCCAAGCAAUUCAAACAUUUCCAACAACACACAUCUACAUAUCAUGCAUGUAUCACAAGUUUUUCCCCCC